rnacentral:ncRNA from 1 species
GGCGAUUUGUCUGGUUAAUUCCGAUAAGCGAACGAGACUCUAGCCUGCCUAAAUAGUACGCCGAUACCUUUUCGUCGGUGCUGACUUCUUUUAGAGGGACAAGCGUCUUGAAGACGCACGAGAUUGAGACAAUAACAGGUCUGUGAUGCCCUUAGAUGUUCGGGGGCCGCACGCGCGGCUACACUGAAGGGGACAGCGAGUUUUUCCUGGUUCGAAAGAACCGGGGUAAUCUGUUGAAUUCCCUCUCGUGACAGGGAUCGGGCUUGCAAUUAUUCCCCGUGAAACGAGGAAUUCCAGUAAGCGCAAAGUCAUCAGGCUUGCGUUGAUUACGUCCCUGCCCUUUGUACACACCGCCCGUCGCUACUACCGAUUGAAUGGUUUUAGCAAGGUCCUCGAUUGGUGCCGACUUGGUGGCAACACUAGGUUCGGAUACUGAAAAGAAGAUGCAAACUUGAUCAUUUAGAGAGAAGUAAAAAGUCGUAAGCAAGGUUUCCGUAGGUGAACUGCGGAAGGAUCAUUA